UGUUAUAAACGAACAUAUCCUUAAGU
rnacentral:sRNA from 1 species